rnacentral:sRNA from 1 species
GUAUUGAAAAAAGUGAUAAACUAUAAAAAUAACCUGAUGUUGUAACAACAGAUUUUGAAAAAGCAAAACUGAAAGCAAUCAAAACAAUUUUCCCCCAUGUAAAAACUAUUGGCAUACUUCUUUCAUUACAGCCAGACACUAAAUGAUUUCAAGCCCGGUUUAUUUUCUAUAUUCAAAGAAAUUGACAGAACAAAUAACCCGUCAGAGAGACACAAUCGCGAGCUGAAACAAAGUCUCCAAAAGCAUUCAAGAAUUAACAUUUUUAGAUAACCUAACUGAACAUCAAAAAGACAUCAAAAAUAUGAUGAAAUAUUCAAAAACAAGAUUACAACCUGAAACAAAAAGAAG